GAUGAAGAACGUAGCGAAAUGCGAUACGUAAUGUGAAUUGCAGAAUUCAGUGAAUCAUCGAAUCUUUGAACGCACAUUGCGCCCGCUAGUAUUCUGGCGGGCAUGCCUGUCCGAGCGUCAUUUCAACCCAUCAAGCUUAGCGCUUGUGUUGGAGCCCUGCGGCCGCCGCAGCCUCCUAAAAUCAGUGGCGGGCUCGCUAUCACGCUGAGUGCAGUAGUAUUCUUCUCACUCCUGUGGUGUAGCGGGUAACCAGCCGUAAACCCCCCCAUCUAUAAAGGUUGACCUCGGAUCAGGUAGGAAUACCCGCUGAACUUAAGCAUAUCAAUAAGGCGGAGGA
rnacentral:misc_RNA from 1 species